CCUACGGGUGGCGCAGUGGGGAAUAUUGCACAAUGGGCGCAAGCCUGAUGCAGCCAUGCCGCGUGUGUGAAGAAGGCCUUCGGGUUGUAAAGCACUUUCAGCGGGGAGGAAGGCGGUGAGGUUAAUAACCUCAUCGAUUGACGUUACCCGCAGAAGAAGCACCGGCUAACUCCGUGCCAGCAGCCGCGGGAAUACGGAGGGUGCAAGCGUUAAUCGGAAUUACUGGGCGUAAAGCGCACGCAGGCGGUCUGUCAAGUCGGAUGUGAAAUCCCCGGGCUCAACCUGGGAACUGCAUUCGAAACUGGCAGGCUAGAGUCUUGUAGAGGGGGGUAGAAUUCCAGGUGUAGCGGUGAAAUGCGUAGAGAUCUGGAGGAAUACCGGUGGCGAAGGCGGCCCCCUGGACAAAGACUGACGCUCAGGUGCGAAAGCGUGGGGAGCAAACAGGAUUAGAUACCCUAGUAGUC
rnacentral:rRNA from 1 species